rnacentral:rRNA from 1 species
AGUGAACGCUGGCGGCAGGCCUAACACAUGCAAGUCGAACGGCAGCACAAGAGAGCUUGCUCUCUGGGUGGCGAGUGGCGGACGGGUGAGGAAUGCAUCGGAAUCUGCCCAUUUGUGGGGGAUAACCUCGGGAAACCGGGACUAAUACCGCAUACGACCUACGGGUGAAAGCAGGGGAUCUUCGGACCUUGCGCAGAUGGAUGAGCCGAUGCCGGAUUAGCUAGUUGGAGGGGUAAAGGCCCACCAAGGCGACGAUCCGUAGCUGGUCUGAGAGGAUGAUCAGCCACACUGGGACUGAGACACGGCCCAGACUCCUACGGGAGGAAGCAGUGGGGAAUAUUGGACAAUGGGAGCAAGCCUGAUCCAGCCAUGCCGCGUGUGUGAAGAAGGCCUUCGGGUUGUAAAGCACUUUUGUUGGGAAAGAAAAGCAGCCGGUUAAUACCCGGUUGUCAUGACGGUACCCAAAGAAUAAGCACCGGCUAACUUCGUG